rnacentral:sRNA from 1 species
AGUGAUAUAGAUUUCUAAAGUCCAAGCCGCGUACAUGCUUGCAUGUAAAGCGGUUUGUGACCUUAGAAAUCGAACAGGCAUGAGGAAGUAGCACGAUAGUGCGGAUUCCGAAUGUCUGUAGAAUUGCGAGAGCGACGAAAGUCGCGUAGCAAUUCGUAUAUCACU